CACCAGCUCUGAGCGGUUUUUGCGCAGGCGCGCAAGCCCUUGGCCUCCAACUAUCGCGAGAAUAGCCUCCCGGAAGUUCCACGUCAGUCAGCCGGUCAGCGGAUCGGUGGGUCUCUCAGGGCCUGCGUCUCUGGUAGCAAGUCGGGGCUUGCGGGCUCGGACCGAAGCAGCCAUGCCUCUGAGACUUGAUAUUAAAAGAAAGCUAACUGCUAGAUCUGACCGAGUUAAGAGUGUGGAUUUGCAUCCUACAGAGCCAUGGAUGUUGGCAAGUCUUUACAAUGGCAGUGUGUGUGUUUGGAAUCAUGAAACACAGACAUUGGUGAAGACAUUUGAAGUGUGUGAUCUUCCUGUUCGAGCUGCAAAGUUUGUUGCAAGGAAGAAUUGGGUUGUGACAGGAGCGGAUGACAUGCAGAUCAGAGUCUUCAAUUAUAAUACUUUGGAGAGAGUCCAUAUGUUUGAAGCACAUUCAGACUAUAUUCGCUGUAUUGCUGUUCAUCCAACCCAGCCUUUCAUUCUAACUAGCAGUGAUGAUAUGCUUAUUAAGCUCUGGGACUGGGAUAAAAAAUGGUCUUGCUCACAAGUGUUUGAAGGACACACCCAUUAUGUAAUGCAGAUCGUGAUCAACCCCAAAGAUAAUAAUCAGUUCGCCAGUGCAUCUUUGGACAGGACCAUCAAGGUGUGGCAAUUGGGCUCUUCCUCACCAAACUUCACUCUGGAAGGACAUGAGAAAGGCGUGAAUUGCAUCGAUUACUACAGUGGUGGCGACAAACCAUACCUCAUUUCAGGUGCAGAUGACCGUCUUGUUAAAAUAUGGGAUUAUCAGAAUAAAACAUGUGUGCAGACCCUGGAGGGACAUGCCCAAAAUGUGUCUUGUGCCAGUUUUCAUCCUGAGUUGCCAAUUAUCAUCACAGGUUCAGAAGAUGGAACAGUGCGUAUUUGGCAUUCAAGCACCUACCGGCUUGAGAGCACAUUAAAUUAUGGAAUGGAGAGGGUAUGGUGUGUGGCCAGUCUAAGAGGGUCCAACAAUGUCGCUUUGGGCUAUGACGAAGGGAGCAUCAUUGUUAAGCUUGGUCGGGAGGAACCUGCCAUGUCCAUGGAUGCCAAUGGAAAGAUAAUUUGGGCCAAGCAUUCAGAAGUCCAGCAGGCCAACCUAAAAGCAAUGGGAGAUGCCGAAAUUAAAGAUGGGGAAAGAUUGCCAUUGGCAGUAAAGGAUAUGGGCAGUUGUGAAAUAUACCCUCAGACUAUUCAGCACAAUCCUAAUGGGCGGUUUGUGGUGGUGUGUGGUGAUGGGGAGUAUAUCAUCUACACAGCAAUGGCAUUGAGAAACAAGAGCUUUGGGUCGGCACAAGAGUUUGCAUGGGCCCACGAUUCUUCAGAAUAUGCGAUAAGAGAGAGCAACAGCGUUGUAAAGAUAUUUAAGAAUUUUAAGGAAAAAAAAUCGUUUAAACCAGAUUUUGGAGCUGAAAGUAUCUACGGAGGCUUCUUAUUGGGAGUCAGAUCUGUAAACGGCUUAGCCUUCUAUGACUGGGAUAAUACAGAACUCAUACGCAGAAUUGAAAUUCAACCCAAACAUAUUUUCUGGUCAGACUCUGGAGAGCUAGUUUGUAUUGCCACCGAGGAAUCAUUUUUUAUCCUUAAGUAUCUGUCAGAAAAAGUCUUGGCUGCACAGGAAACACAUGAGGGAGUAACUGAAGAUGGCAUUGAAGAUGCCUUUGAGGUUCUUGGUGAGAUUCAGGAAAUAGUGAAAACGGGGCUGUGGGUAGGCGAUUGUUUCAUUUACACAAGUUCUGUGAACAGAUUAAAUUAUUACGUUGGAGGAGAAAUAGUCACCAUUGCCCACUUGGACAGGACAAUGUAUCUCCUGGGCUAUAUUCCUAAAGACAACAGGCUUUAUCUUGGGGAUAAAGAAUUGAACAUUGUUAGCUACUCCUUGCUGGUUUCAGUCCUAGAAUACCAGACAGCUGUCAUGAGAAGGGACUUUAGCAUGGCUGAUAAAGUCCUUCCUACCAUUCCAAAAGAACAGAGGACCAGAGUUGCACACUUUUUGGAAAAGCAGGGCUUCAAGCAGCAAGCUCUUACAGUAUCCACAGAUCCUGAGCAUCGUUUUGAGCUUGCUCUUCAACUUGGAGAGUUAAAAAUUGCAUACCAGUUAGCAGUAGAAGCAGAGUCAGAACAGAAGUGGAAACAACUUGCUGAGCUUGCCAUUAGUAAAUGUCAGUUUGGCCUAGCCCAGGAGUGCCUGCACCAUGCACAGGAUUAUGGGGGUCUGCUGCUUUUGGCCACUGCCUCUGGAAAUGCUAGUAUGGUGAACAAGCUAGCAGAGGGUGCGGAGAGAGAUGGCAAAAAUAACGUGGCAUUCAUGAGCUACUUUUUACAGGGCAAGCUUGAUGCUUGCCUGGAGCUCUUGAUUAGAACUGGACGGCUGCCAGAAGCUGCCUUCCUGGCCCGAACUUACUUACCCAGUCAGGUUUCAAGGGUAGUGAAACUCUGGAGAGAGAAUCUGUCAAAAGUCAAUCAGAAAGCAGCAGAAUCCCUUGCUGACCCAACAGAGUAUGAAAAUCUUUUCCCUGGAUUAAAAGAAGCUUUUGUUGUUGAAGAAUGGGUGAAGGAAACACAUGCUGAUCUGUGGCCAGCCAAACAAUAUCCACUUGUCACGCCAAAUGAAGAGAGAAAUGUUAUGGAAGAGGCAAAAGGCUUUCAGCCCUCCAGAUCUGCAGCUCAACAGGAACUUGACGAGAAGCCGCCUUCUCCUACUCCAGUUAUUAUAGCCUCCCACACAGCCAACAAAGAAGAAAAGAGUUUACUUGAACUAGAAGUAGAUCUGGAUAAUUUGGAAUUAGAAGAUAUUGACACAACAGAUAUCAAUCUGGAUGAAGAUAUUUUGGAUGAUUGAAUGUAAUGUCUUCCAUUUACUCAACAGAUCAUUAUAUAGACUACUUUGAAAAAGACUUUUUGAUGCCCUAAAAAUCUUACAAAAGCACGGGAUAUCAAAAGCAAAAGUAUUUUCAUAAGGUAAAUGAUGACUUUUACUGAAAAUCCCUAGAAACAGUUCUACCAGAAAACAAACACCCACAAGAACUUAUGUCUACUUCUUUACAUUUCUUAUUUAAUUUUUGUGUAUCUGGAAAAGUUCACUGACACACAGGAGCACUGGUGAGCCCUGGAUAAGUCAAUGUUCAAGGUAUACAGUACAGAUCCAAAGCCACUUACUCUUUCAAAGAAUCUACCCUUGUUUAUGCAACACAAAAGCAAAGACUGGGAAAACUGAGUCAUGCUAGAAGCAUAUAAAUUGAGGCUCAAAUACCAAACUGAUAUUUUUUUAAGUGUUAUUGGCAAUCCAGGAAAGAAGAGCCAGAGAAUAACAACUACAACAGAAGAAGUGGUGAUGUCCAAAAAAAAUCUGAGAAACAUCUGUCAUUCUUACUGAAAACUGUGGAAAGUGAAAAUCCUUUGGAAGCCUGAGUUUCUUGGCAUCAUCAAGGAAUUUACAGACAAACACUCCAUCAUCUCAAAAGGCUUCAGUUAAGGAAAUCAGUCUAACUUAGGCAAAAAAAAAAAAAAAAAAAAAAUCCCUUUCUCCCAUUGCCUUGUAGAUGCUUGUCCAUUUGUGGUUUGGGGGUAGAUUUCUGUCUGUUUCUAUACCCCUUUUUCUGUCUCUUUGCAGUCAACAACUACAACAGAAGAAGUGGUGAUGUCAUAUGUGUAAUGUGUAAUAUAUUGUGUAAUAUACUGUGUCUAUAAUCUGUAGGGAAACAGUAACAUAAUGAUGUGGGGCUGGUUUGUAUUUCUCAUCCUUCUCACACUAUAUCUUCCAGAAGGAUCUCACCCAGUCAAACGAAUCCUGGUUUGGAAGAGACAGCCCAGUUCACAUAGUCCCUCAAGCCUAUCCCUACAUGGUAUUCAAACAAAGAGCAUUUUGCAAUUAGAUGUAUA